GCAGUAAAUCACAACAUUCCAACUUUUGAAUGGUGAAGAGGGUAGCUAGCUGACGACAGAACUUCAGGCCACUAUUCAGUACGCAAGCAUCUGCUACUGGAUUAGUUUACACCUGUGUGUGUGUUGCAAGGCUAUGCCCAUGAUGCUCUUCAGAACUUGGGCACGCUACCCAAUCUUCAUCUACAAGGAUGGUAGAGGAGGAUGGUAACCUGGAGAUAGAGGAUGACGAGGAGGAGAGGAGGAUGGUUACCAGGUCCCAGAAUCAGCUGGUGGUCUCUGAAGAAGAGGAGGAGGACUGGGAAGCAGAGAUUAACAACAGCAAACUAUGUUAUGCCCCAGAGGACCUGUUGAGUCCAGGUGUUGUCCAUCCCUCCCAGUCCCACCCUAGCCGUGUGUCCUCUCCCUGGCCAGUCCAGGUACACCACUACACCCCCUCCGUGCACCAUACCCCUCCUGUCCUCUGGGAGCAUACUGCUGCACUCACCACGGCCGACCAGUUUGAAGAUGCAGAAGAAGAAUGAAGCUCUUGGGGAAAUCUGUUCUACCUGAUAGUUAAUAUCACCCACCUGAUGUCCCAGGUCUAAAUCAGUCCCUGAUAGUUAAUAUCACCCACCUGAUGUCCCAGGUCUAAAUCAGUCCCUGAUAGUUAAUAUCACCCACCUGAUGUCCCAGGUCUAAAUCAGUCCCUGAUAGUUAAUAUCACCCACCUGAUGUCCCAGGUCUAAAUCAGUCCCUGAUCAUUAAUAUCACCCACCUGAUGUCCCAGGUCUAAAUCAGUCCAUGAUCAGAGGAGAAUAAUGAAAAAAGCACUGGAAGGUCUUCAAGGUUCGGAUUAGAAUUUGAGGGCUCCAGGUAAAAAUGAUUGAUUUGGAUUUAUUUUUCCAGAGUUCAAAGGGCUUUACAUAGUGAAGGGGGAUCCUCAUAUCUUCCACCACCAAUGUGGGGCAGCAGGUAGCCUAGUGGUUAGAGCGUUGGACUAGUAACCGAAAGGUUGCAAGUUCAAAUCCCAGAGCUGACAUGGUGAAUUCUCUCAUUCUGCCCCUGAACAAGGCAAUAAACACACUGUUCUUAGGCCGUCAUUGUAAAUAAGAAUUUGUUCUUAACUGACUUGCCUAGUUAAAUAAAGGUUAAAUAAAUAAAUGUGGAGUACCUAAGGUGAUGAACUCCAACCAUUUUGUGCCAGAAGUCAUCUGGGUAGUUGCCACGGUCUUGACUACAUGACCGAAAUACAUGUCACCUUCCAUCCUAAAUUCAUGCUCUCCAACAUGGCCGAUGACGUGAUCGUAACGGCAGACGUUCACAGAUACUUUAAAGCUUCUGUGGAUGUGCACUAGGGCUGGGAAUUGUCAGGGACCUCACCAUACCAUAUUGCCAUGAUACUUAGGUGGCGAUACGAUAUGUGUUGAGACUCAUGAUUCUAUAUGGAUUGAUACGUAGGUGCCGAUACGAUAUGUGUUGAGACUCAUGAUUCUAUAUGGAUUGAUACGUAGGUGCCGAUACGAUAUGUGUUGAGACUCAUGAUUCUAUAUGGAUUGAUACGUAGGUGCCGAUACGAUAUGUGUUGAGACUCAUGAUUCUAUAUGGAUUGAUACGUAGGUGCCGAUACGAUAUGUGUUGAGACUCAUGAUUCUAUAUGGAUUGAUACGUAGGUGCCGAUACGAUAUGUGUUGAGACUCAUGAUUCUAUAUGGAUUGAUACGUAGGUGCCGAUACGAUAUGUGUUGAGACUCAUGAUUCUAUAUGGAUUGAUACGUAGGUGCCGAUACGAUAUGUGUUGAGACUCAUGAUUCUAUAUGGAUUGAUACGUAGGUGCCGAUACGAUAUGUGUUGAGACUCAUGAUUCUAUAUGGAUUACUAUUCAAUAGUGAUUUGAUGUUCCAAACAUAUUGUUCACCAUAUGUCUGCUGUAGAGAUACAAGAGAAAACAUGGUUUGAUCAGUCAUGGACAUAAGUGCUGAAAACAAAUAGUCUUCCUGUAUAAAAAGAAGAUGGAGAAGAAACUAUGAAGGAAGAAGACUGGCGUUCUGUUGUAGGUAAAGACAACCAGCACAAAAACAAUACUGUGAUUUUGUCAAAAUGAUGCGAUACAAUAUAUCGUCACAAAAUAAUAUCCUGAUGUGUAACUAUUGAUUGUUCCUGGUCACUAUUGUGCGGAGGAGUUUGCUCCGUCACGCAACGGGGUGGUAUAUACAGGCGUGGCCAAAAGGUUUGAGAAUGACACAAAUAUUAAUUUCCACACAGUUGCCUCAGUGUGUUUAGAUAUUUUUGUCAGAUGUUACAAUGGAAUACUGAAGUAUAAUUACAAGCAUUUCAUUAGUGCCAAAGGCUUUUAUUGACAAUUACAUGAAGUUGAUGCAUGGAGUCAAUAUUUGCAGUGUUGACCCUUCUUUUUCAAGACCUCUGCAAACUGCCCUGGUAUGCUGUCAAUUAACUUCUGGGCAACAUCCUGACUGAUGGCAGCCCAUUCUUGCAUAAUCAAUGCUUGGAGUUUGUUAGAAUUUGUGGGUUUUUGUUUGUCCACCCGCCUCUUGAGGAUUGACCACAAGUUCUCAAUGGGAUUAAGGUCUGGGGAGUUUCCUGGCCAUGGACCCAAAAUAUCGAUGUUUUGUUCCCCGAGCCACUUCGUUUUCACUUUUGCCUUAUGGCAAGGUGCUCCAUCAUGCUGGAAAAGGCAUUGUUUGUCAUCAAACUGUUCCUGGAUGGUUGAGAGAAGUUGCUCUUGGAGGAUGUGUUGGUACCAUUCUUUAUUCAUGGUUGUGUUCUUAGGCAAAAUUGCGAGUUAUCCCAGUCCCUUGGCGGAGUAGCAACCCCACACAUGAAUGGUCUCAGGAUGCUUUACUGUUGGCAUGACACAGGACUGAGGGUAGCGCUCACCUUGUCUUCUCCGGACAAGCUUUUUUCCGCAUGCCCCAAACAAUUGGAAAGGGGAUUCAUCAGAGAAAAUGACUUUACCCCAGUCCUCAGCAGUCCAAUCACUGUACCUUUUGCAGAAUAUCAGUCUGUCCCUGAUGUUUUUCUGGAGAGAAUUGGCUUCUUUGCUGCCCUUCUUGACACCAGGUCAUCCUCCAAAAGUCUUUGCCUCACUGUGCGUGCAGAUGCACUCACACCUGCCUGCUGCCAUUCCUGAGCAAGCUAUGUACUGAUAGUGACCCGAUCCUGCAGAUGAAUCAACUUUAGGAGACAAUCCUGUCGCUUGCUGGACUUUCUUGGGCGCCCUGAAGCCUUCUUCACAACAAUUGAACCGCUCUCCUUGAAGUUCCCGAUGAUCCGAUAAAUGGUUGAUUUAGGUGCAAUCUUACUGGCAGCAAUAUCCUUGCCUGUGAAGCCCUUUUUGUGCAAAGCAAUGAUGACCACGUGUUUCCUUGCAGGUAAUCAUGGUUGACAGAGGAAGAACAAUGAUUCCAAGCACCAUCCUCCUUUUGAAGCUUCCAAUCUGUUAUUCGAACUCAAUCAGCAUGACAGAGUGAUCUCCAGCCUUGUCCUCGUCAACACUCUAGAGAAUCACUGACAUGAUGUCAGCUGGUCCUUUUGUGGUAGGGCUGAAAUGCAGUGGAUUUUUUGGGGGGGGGUUCAGUUCAUUUGCAUGGCAAAGAGGGACUUUGCAAUUAAUUGCAAUUCAUCUGAUCACUCUUCAUAACAUUCUGGAAUAUAUGCAAAUUGCCAUCAUACAAACUGAGGCAGCAGACUUUGUGAAAAUUAAUAUUUGUGUCAUUCUCCAAACUUUUGGCCAUGACUGAACAUACAGUGGUGGCUGAGUAUAUUGGUCCCCUGGCACUUUUCCUAAAGAAUUCUCUAUUUCUUGUCAAAUAAGUUUAAGUUGAAGAAACCCUUUAGUUCCCUUGUCAUUGGAUUGGCAACACUGGAGAACCCAAACUGUUUAAUGUAGACAAUAGAAAGAAAUGGCCACCCAGGAGAUUGUACAUGUUUAGAUACAGAGCCUUCAGGAAGUUAUUCACACUCCUGGACUUGAUCCACAUGUUGUUGUGUUACAGCCUGAAUUUAACAUGGAUUACAUUUAGAUGGUGUGUCACUGUCCUACACACAAUACCCCAUAAUAUCAAAGUGGAGUUAUGUUUUUAUAAUUGUUUUACAAAUUAAUAAAACAAAUGAA